GGGAGAGAGUGCUAUUUAUAAUCCAGCGGAGUUCACCCUCAGAACACGGCCAUUUUUUUCCAGGCCACCUGCCAGAACCCACAUUCUCCAGGCUCCAUAUAUGGGCCUCCCCACAGGCCCCUGUGGGCACAGCCUCACCUCUGAGGGGACCAAGGCAGCCAGGCGACUCAGGAAGGGGUGUUACUUUGUCCGUGAGGAAACUGGGGAGCAGAGAGGUUAAGCCGUGUGUCUACCCCCGAGUCUAUCCGGCUCCUGACCCCCAGUCGCUCCACUCAUCCAGAACACAGUAGACCUGCAGAAAAUCUUCACUCACGUGGCAGUCCUUCGGCUGAGGCACCCUUUACUUGCCAGCUCUUUUCAGCCUGGGAUGGAUUCCUGAUUCUCUUUUGACUCCGUGGCCUCCGAAACCAGCCCCGAGGGGCCACGAUCCUGUAUCUGCGGCGGUCCCAGGCAUCCCUACCGUUCCUCCUUCGCCUGUGACCAAUAUGGGACUAGCACUUCAGCAGAGGAAAAGCAGCAGCAGGAGUUGAUCAAUUCCUAAGCAACGAAGAUCCUGUUUUCAUGCAAACGUCCUCGGCAUUAAAACAAAAACAAAUUCUUCCCAGGGUGCGUCCUGGAUGCCAAGUCUUCUUGCAAGACACAUUCUGAAGCAAGGUUUUGCGCCUGUACUAGAGACCGAGGGGGGCUGGGAGGAGAGCUGCGUGCCAAGUGUCGUCUUGAUAUGCUCUCAUUUUAAACUCACAGCCACCCCACGAGCUAGCCCCAGUCGGAUCUCGGCUUGACAGAUAAGGAAACAGGCAGAGAGAAAUGAGGGAACGGGUCCAGUGUCUAUAGCUGGCGAUGGCAGCCAGGGCACAUGACCAGAUCUGAUUGAAGCUGUAUUGUUUUGGACAUAGACACAGGUAUCCACUGCGACUGUAUUCACCUUACAAAGACGAGGGGAUGACCAUGAAUGUUUCAGAUGACUACAGACAAAAUCUUUUUUCCCCUUAGUGUACUUUUCCCAUCACUUAAAUAAAAAGUGUGCUUUUCCCCUCAAAUAAAAAGAAAGAAGGAU